rnacentral:piRNA from 1 species
UACAUUCUAUGCGUAUACCAAACUUGGGUC